CCCGAGCUCUGGAUGGCCGCUGGGUCCAGGUGGCAGGGCGGGAGCAGGUCCCCACUGCUUCUGUUUCUGUUCCCUGCUGACCCAGCCUGGGGAGCUGCUCUGCUCCCCUGGGCACCUGUGGGGGCCGCCUGAGGAUGCCAUGGUCACCAGCCUUCACCCAGUGCCAUCGGGGCCGUGGUGGGACAGGGUGAAGAGCAAGAAGAGUUAGGGAAGGCUCCAGGUGUCACGAUGUGAGUGAAGUGCUACCAACCUUUGGACACCAGUCGUUCCAAGCAGAAAGAGACAAGAGAAUGAGUGUUCCCCCUGACGACGUAUGGACAAGGCCAGACACGGUCACAGAUCUGUGGACUGGCUGUGGCGGGCACCCUACAGGUUUUCGUGCCUGAGUCAGUCUCCACGACCCAUGGAAGCUUCCAGAAUCCUCUCACUGCUCCAGUGGCCAAGGUCCUAGAGACCAAUGAGAGAGACAACCCGGUGGUUUCUGCCGACCUGGGACAAGGCCGCUUCUUGCCUUAAUGUCACCCAGAGCCACUGUGAAGGAAUUUCAAACAGCAGGUAUAUCAAUAAGGCAGUGGUCACAGCUGGGUUUUUGUGUCCCCAAGGUCCAGGGAGCUCCUGGUUGGUGACCCUGGAGACUCAUGGAGAGUUAGCUCGUUUGGUGGCUGGGUGGUUGUGGUCUGGCUUGGUUCUUUGAUUUGGGGUUGUUUUGUUGAGGUUUUGGGGGGUUGGAUUUGGGGUUCUGGGGUCCUGAGCUGUCCCCGUGGGUCAAUGUCUGCUCAGGAUGUGUAGCCGGAGUAGUAUACAGUCAUGACCAAGGGACAGGGUCUCUCGGCCACUUCCUCCUUGGAGGAUGCCCUCACCAGUCACUACGAGGUUCUGAGGGACAUCGGCCAGGACACCUUUGCCAACCGUGAAACUGGCUCAACAAUAUCGUCACAGGGACACAGGUGGCCGUGAAAGUUCUGCCCAAGAUAGAGCAGGACUGACCCUUCAUUUGCUCACAAGUGGACAUCAGGAAGGCCCUCGAGCACCCCAACGUGGUCCAGAUGUUUGAGGUCAUCGAGAUCUUGGGGGCUGUCCACGUUGUGAUGGAGGACGCAGGUGGGGGGACCGCUGAGCCACCACGUCCCCGAGGCUGUGGGCAAUGAAGGACGCAGAGGCCCAGAGAGUGUUCAGGCAGAUGGUGAGUGCCGUGGGCCACCCUAAGGGCAUCGGGCACAGAGACCUGAAGUUGGGGAAUGUCGUCCUCGACGCCGGGGGACACUGUCAAGCUCUGUGACUUGAACCUGAGACCACAAGUUCAAGGCUGGACAGAAGUUCCACAGGAUUUGGGGCACCCCGUCCUAUGGGGUCCCCGAGCAGCUGAGAAAGCAGGUCCUGCAUGGAAGGUACAACGUCCCCUCCCACCGGUCCCCAGAGGUGCAGGAGCCUCAUCCUGCAGAUGCUGACCAUGGACCCCAUGCAGAGGGGUCAUGGGGCACCAUGGCCCCCACGCAGAGGGGUCAUGGGGCACCAUGGCUGAGCCCAGGGGAGGACCAGGAGCCACCAUGUCCAUGCACAGAACCUCCCCUGGACCCCUCGAUCAUGAAGGUCAUGCAGACCUGAGUGACACCUGGAUGUCCCUGAAAGCCACAAUGUUCAACGAAGCAAUGGCCACGUACCUCAUGCUUCAGUACCAGAAAACUUGGGGGCCAGCUGCUUGGUUCCACUAAAGCCCGUGAGGCCGGAGGUUGGGCCUCCACCCUGCCCCUCGGUCCUUUCCAGUGUCCCCAUGCACCCCAAGAGGUCUGUCAGCGUGCCAGCCCUUGGCUCCACCAUCAUCCUGCCCGAUGGACAGCCCCUGCUCAUGGGGGACAAGCCACUCAGAAAGAAGGGCCACAGAGCCAGCGAGCCGGUCCUUCCCGAGUCUAGCCUGCAGUCGGGCACCCCCAUGGCCAGCCUGGCUGCCCAGCUCCCCGGCUCCUGGUCGAGCAGUGACAUGUUGGGAGGUGACCAGCAGGAAGCCCUCCCAGGGGUCCCCAGAAGAGAGCUUGGUCUUGGUCCAGCCACCCUGGGGUGACACGCUGGGCCCUGCCCACCACAGCAGCAAGGGCUAUGGGGGACUGUCCAGGAGGAUCGCUGCCUGCAUGGCCCACGUGUGCUGCUGAGUGGCGGUCCCCAAGGCGGGCCCCAGGCUCCAAAACCAAGUGGCGCCAAUGCACAGAGACCAGGCUGGUAGAAGGUUCCAGAACAAAGUGGCUCUGAUGGACUCCGACAGCCGAGACCCCGCGAGGCCAGGUGACACAGGAUCUUCACGGGCCUGGAGGGAGGUGCAGCAGCCUCCUGCCCCCACCUGGAGGAGACACCAGGGACCUUCCCCUGGGUCCCCUGUCCCCGCCCUGCUCUGCCCUCACGCUGCAGGGUCCCUCACCCAUUUCUGUUUCCCAAAUCUCUUAUAAAUGGAUGCUCCCAA